UAACAUAUUCCAUCACCUUGGGAAGAAAGCUGAGUAAGUCUAAAAUCUGGUGAAGGAAGCUGGACGGUUCAGGCUGCUAGCCGCAGCCAAUGCAAAUUAUGAAGGAAAACCAUACUGCUGAAAGGUGGUGAAUACACUGCAUUACACUAUAUUCCUGCAAGAGAGACCUCAUACGAUAUACAAGACUGGAGAAAAAUACUAUAAGCUUUGCAAACCCAUGUACAGUUACAGAAGUAACUUUCAGUUGGGAAAAAUAUCGAUGCCGAAAUGUGAUCUACAGGCUCCAGAGCUCCAAACAAGUUAGCACUUCCAAAGGCUAAAACUAAUACAUUAAAUAAUUAAAAACUUAUUCUGGACAUGAUACAGACUAUGAAAGUGUUAAGAUUUGAUAAACAAUCUUAGUUAAUUUUUAAAAUUAAUUAAA
ensembl:lncRNA